rnacentral:rRNA from 1 species
UACGUAGGGUGCAAGCGUUGUCCGGAAUUAUUGGGCGUAAAGAGCUCGUAGGCGGUCUGUCGCGUCGGCUGUGAAAUCCCGAGGCUCAACCUCGGGUCUGCAGUCGAUACGGGCAAACUGGAGUGUUGCAGGGGAGACUGGAAUUCCUGGUGUAGCGGUGAAAUGCGCAGAUAUCAGGAGGAACACCGGUGGCGAAGGCGGGUCUCUGGGCAACAACUGGCGCUGAGGAGCGAAAGCGUGGGGAGCGAACAGG